GACACUUUGGCCGAGUGGUUAAGGCGACAGACUUGAAUUUCAUCUUCUGAUAUAAAUUCCGACAUCUGUUUCAUUCGUGAGCGCAGGUUCGAACCCUGCAGGUGUCG
rnacentral:tRNA from 1 species